AGUCAAAGCUAAAUGCAGGGUUAAAAGUAGGAAAUAGAUAUGUAUAGCAGCAGAGUCACUAGAGCACAUCCUUGUGGUGCCGCUUUCUGUCACGAGAAUACGAGAAUACAUCUCUGCCUCACAGAUAUAUUUCAGACUGAUUUUAGCAUUGCAAAAAUGCGCGAUGUAAGGUUCUCUAUCCAACAAAAUGCAAAUUUACUAUCAAUUUAGAAAUGCAUUUUAUAUGAACAAAAAUAAGACGCUGAAAGGCGAAAAAUUGCACAACAGUGUAGCUUAGACUUUUGCGUGUACAAAGCAACAAUCUUGGUCGAGUGAAACUCGGAUUAAGGCCAUAUAUCUCAUGAUAGAUAAGGGCAAAUCGUAUAGUGGCCUAUUUUUGGUAUCCAAGUUUUGAUCGACUUUAUACACAUUUUUUAAAAAUUUCCUUUUUUCAACCGAAGUACCUAAAAUCACUCGUCAGUAUCUCCAAGACCAAACCCAUCAGCAAUGCUGAAUCAAUAGAUAACUGAACAACUUUGAAUGCUAGCUCACCUGUAUGUUUGUUUGCUUUACAACGUUUCUAAAUUCCUUUCUUUGCUAUCUCCAUAGUCUUAAGUGUGUUUAAAUUUCCACCUAGCAAGCACUUAACUCCUUUAGAUAAAAAUAUUUUUGGUAAACAACUAUUUAUUUAUAAGAAAACACAUUCCUUGCUAUUAACAAAAUUGUAUACCAACCGUAUCAAACAAGGGCAAAAUCAUUGCCAAAUAGACACUUCCAAAUAGACAUUUCGUAAUAAAAUCUCCAUAAUGAAUGUUAUAAACACAAUUAAAGGGCAUGUGUCGUUAACAUGAUUGGCUAAUGCAAUACAAUUAUCUCUUUUGUUUAGUAUAAAGCAUGGAAUCGAAGGUGAAUUUUUACGGCAGUAAAAAUUAAUUAAGAAGAAAUGAAAAGUCACGAAACAAUGGAUUUCCACUCCAAACGCUUUUGUUUUAUUAGCCAACUGCUAAUGCGACAUAUGCUCUUUAAUUGUUGAUAUGCAUAGUACUGAAAUCGAGUUUCAAGGAUGCACUGACAUAAACCAAUCACUGAAGUUUUUUAUUCACAAAAGGAAGUAGACUUUCAAUGUUUUCUUCCAUGCCUUUCUCUAUGAAAUCAUUUGUGGAAUAAUCUUCUUGCAUUUGUUGCCGAGUAGCAGCAGAUAGGUUUUUGAAAGGAAUGAACCCGAGCUAGAAUGGUUGCAGUAGUAUGUUAUGUUCUGGAUUGGAUCAUUGCCUGCAUAUGAUUAUGUAGUUUGAUAGCACAUACUGACAAUCUAGCAAGGAAAGCAAAUAUCUAUUUCCUCCUAUUUAGCUUUGACAAAGAUGAAAAAUUUUCAAAAAGUGUUGUGUUUGUACAGCUUCUUGUUUAAAAAGGCAAUUACCUUCAACAAUCAUGAAACCAGCCGUCAAUUUCUAACUAAAGGUGAAGAGUGACUUCCCCAUUCAAAGAAAGCUGUUACUUCAUUGUGACCUGUAUGAAAUGAAUUUGCGUUGAUAAAAAAGACCCUUAAACGAUAGUUUUUCAAAAAGGAUCUAGUUUUCACCGUUGUUAUGUCAAUUAAAACAAACAACGUAAAACAGAAUAAAUCUACUGUCCCUCUCACUGCAUGAAAAGGAAGAAAGCGAGCGAAGUCCUAAAUCAGUGUCACUUUUUAACUUUCAAGAAAAAACCUACUCAGUAUGCAAACAAAUUCCUUACAAAGCUCUGUCAAUAAGGGAUGACAAUAAAACGCCAAUCUAUGAGAUUACAAUUCGUCGAUUAUCCAUAAACUAGUAUCAGAAUAAUUAGAAUCUCUUAACUGCAAGGGGGAACAAACUCUAGAAAAUCUAUUAAAAAUACGUUGCCACUGAAAAGAAGCUCUUAAGCAUUUUUGGAAUAAAUGACGUUUGGAUUGUUGGGCGAAAACCACGAGGUUUAUUGAUAUUCGAUCCUCAAAAUGGAAGGAAAUUUCAACUCAACGGUAACAGUUACACAAAGAAGUAUCACUGCUUCUCCAAAUAACACUCAUAGUCCUUCUACGCUAACUAUUACAAACUUCACUGUCUGCAUUAACUGCACAGGUCGACCCAAGAACAUCAUGAUUGCUACCCAAGAAGGCUACGAUUACUUCAAUAUCAUCCUACUGCUAAUGCUUGCGUUGAUUUUCGUAAUCGGUACAGUUGGGAAUUCGGUCGUUUGCUAUGUCUUCGGCUUCAAACAACGCAAAAGAAGAUCUGUUCCUGAAACGUUGUUUCUUUAUUUAGGAGCAAUUGACCUUACUUCUUCCAUAAUCAACCCAUGCCUAUAUGUGUACUGGACAGUGACAAAGUAUUCAAGAUGGGACUUUGGCAUUGUAGGCUGCAAGCUUCUGGCACCUUUGGCACCAGUAUCAGUCACUCUCUCAGCUCUGAUUAUACUCAUUAUUGCAAUAGAUAGAUACACAAUUAUAUGUGGUCAAUUCGGUCGCAGCUACAGUCGAAAUAGAAUCCACUGCGCAGUACUAUUUGCCGCCGUCUUUUCGAUUUGCAUAUUCCUACCCUAUAUCAUCCUAUUGGAAGUUAGCAGCACGUGCAGUGUGCAAAAAACUGGUGCGCCUGAAUAUGCCUAUUCCAUGAUAUCUGCACUGCUUUUUCAGGACGUGAGUUUCAUUGCAGUCUUGGCAUUCACAAACUUAAGGACAUUUAGUCGCUUACGCCGUCGGAGCAGCCUUGCCAUGGAGCGCACUGUUGAAUCGAGGCGACUUCGAUCACACAAACGAGUUGCAAGGAUACUCUUGGCUAUGAGCCUGGUGUUUUGUUUGCUUGUGCUACCACGUGAUUUGGUGCAGCUUACUUACAUUAUAUCAUGGUUGGAUCCUCCAGGAGUAAGCUACACACAAGCACUGCUCCGCAUCAACGCCUUUCUAAAAGUCUUGCAAACGUCCAACAGUUGUGUCAACGUGUUCAUUUACUCCAAAAUGCAUACAAAAUUUCGAGUACACCUAUUCCGGCUAUAUUACAAGGCGUUUGGUCGGAGAGGUCUUUUUGCAGAAAAAUUUGGCGUGAAUGUGGUCAAUGAAGAAAUGACACCGAUGACUCGAAGAAGAAUCCUAAAGUUCAAUGAAGGAAUCGGGACACCUUCGGACACGCCGGUAUUACAGAGAAAGAAUGUCAAGCGAGAGAAGAUUCAGGACAGGGAAGGAGCCAAUCCACUUCUAGUAAACCACAUAAUAUCAAACAAGGCUCAAUUUCAAAGUGACGUGCAGACCUGUUCAUUGUAAGACUUUAUAGGCCAGGACAGCCUCUCUUUCAUCCUGUUUAAAAGCGAGUCCAGCCUCAAAGCCAUAAACUUAUUUUAAACAUAUUUUGAAGAAAUUUAAGAAAUAGAAAAUAACAAUUUACCAUGCUGGGCAUCGUCUAUCUUUAUCAUAUCUAUAAUUCUAGGGGCUCUGACAAUUGCUCAGUCAUUUUUUAUUGAGGACCGUGGUAGGAUACAUAAGAUUAUAAGAUGCUUGCUAUACCUUCGUAAAUAAAGUGAGGAAGAUAAGAUGAAGGGUCUCUUGUUAAGUCACCCUCACUAGGAAAUCCAUUGAAACCUUGAUUGGAAGCGUCUGCGUCUAUGCAUCAUAUUGCUAAUUCUGUUGUUGACAAUUGUUUUAUUUAACAUCGUUGUAUCAAAGGUUCUUGUACUUGCUAAAUGCAAUACCUCAAAGGUCAUCCGCAAGAUUCAUAUCACAGAAUGUGUGACUUCAUAAGACAUACUUAUCAGAUUUGCUAACGAAGCAUGUCUUAUUCUCUAUGGAAGUUGUCGUACAUCAUUCAUUCAGACUCAAUCGCCUGACCUUGUCGCAGAAAUCGAUACAAUUAGAAAAUUUCUUUAUCAUAUUAAUUAAAAGAAGCGGUAUGCUAUUAUGAAUUAUGAGAUUAUGUGAGAUUAUAUUAUUAAAUAUUUCUUUAGUCAAUUCAUGCUAGAGUUGUUCGUAAUCGCGUUUGUUAAUAUUUAUUCAUAACAAAGAUUAGAAUGACUACUGUAUGUACUCAUGAUCUUUUUCGUGACUCUUAGACCUUUGAUUUGUGCGUUAACAUUGUAGCAAGAAAUAAUUCCCUUGAAAGACUUACGUCAAACGUAUUGCUUAUCACAAUGGGGUUUCAGUCGAUUUUGGGUCACAUGUUUUCAAGCACUAGAAACAAACUUCAGUUUCACAUCCUUUGUCAGAUAUAAUUGGGUACAGCUGGUACACAACGUUUUUAGAAAAGCAUUACGUCAUAGUUAAUGCUUUGAGGACAAAUAUGGUUUGAUUACAGAUUGCACGUCACCAGAAACCACAAUAUUACAAGAACCAUUUGGCAGUUGAAUACCUCUUAAAGGAUUUCUGGAAACUCCUUUAUAUCGGUUAAAGGUAUUAUAUGAUAAGAGGUUUGCAGAAAAACGUCACCCUGACUCAUACCACCUGAAGUCAACUUAUAUGCUUGUUAUUUUCAACAUUAGACCUCAACUUUGUGUGAGUAAGUUUUCCACGUCACUAUGUCAGUAGAACCAAACAAAGAGAGAUUAAAUACUGAUGUUUACUUCGUCGAUUGUCUCUUUCAUGAACUAUUCUCUGUCAAAUUUUUAAAUGGCCUUUUUUAUAAACAGUUUCAAGCCCUUUCUUGCUUCCUGAUUAGCCCUCCUAUCUAUUUGAAGGAAAUAACAACUUUAAAAUUAUUUCUUGAAAAGUCUCACUAUUUUAAAGAAAAACAAUUGCCACUUGAUCUGAAAAGAUGCAUAAUUCACUCGUUAAUCAUUUUUUGCCACGUUAAUCAAAGUUAAAUUAAAUUGUGUUUUGUCCUAAUUCACUUUGGUAAAGGCAUUUUUUAUUACCUAGGAUGAAACGCUUGGUUUAUUGGACAUUCUUUUUUUUAUAUAAGUCUAGCCUUCACACUGUAACAAAAGUUUCUCAUUUGUUAAUAUACAAACGGGGCAAUUUUUGGCUUUAGUUGGCAAAGCAACCAAGCCUUCAAAGCUUUUUUAAGAGCAUUUCAGCUUUAAAAACUUAAGAAAUUAUUCUACUGGACAGUAUUUAACUUUAUGUAUUGAGUUAGAUCAUGAACGGUACAUUUCUAUUAUUUUCAGAAUACGGGACGUAGGCAAUAGAAUCAUUGCAAAGUAAUCUGCACUGGUGGCCAGCGUGAUCAUGAUGAUCAGCCAAAUAACUAGUACGGUGACAAGAAAGACAUCGUGAAAGGAGUAUUUCAAGUUCUAUUGACGUGAAUCCUUUUGAUAAAAUCCAUAAUAUUAACAUAUUAGCUAAGACAUGUAGUUUAGACAAAAAUUUCAGCGAAAUUACAGUAAUUUGACAUUCCGAUUGAGACAGUCAAUGUAUUUUAGACAAAAUUCACGAAAACUGUGUCUGAAGUUUAUUUUUAUAAACAGAUCAUAAGAGCAGUUUAAGGCAGUUCCUGCUUUGCAUAUAUGGCGCCACCUCUGGAUGUAAUCUGGGAAAUUAGUGGUUAUCGGGUUGAACUUAGACACUAAAAAAAGACAAAAUAACCAAAUUGAACGUAACACAACUUUUUUUACAACAAAAAUAAUUGUCAACAUCAUAUAUAAUAUCAACUAACGAACACAAAAUUUGCAAGCAAAUGUUUAUUUAUCAUACUGUAUGUUUUUACUUAACAAAGUCUUUAAUUGAAUCUUUAAUUGACUGUUUUCUUUUGUUGUUUACACGAAUAACUGGGCUAUAAAGAAGCUCGAAGCUGUAAAAAGCUAACUAGAUUGUCAAGUGUCAAAGUGUUUGAAAUAAAUAUUUGAACAAAUAUUCAUUUUUCUCAGUUUUUUGCUCGCUGGCUCCUAACUUUUUGUACUGUCCGCUAAUUGUAAAUAAAACAAACCAAAUUGACUAUUUUGCGUAAAAAAUGAUUUCCGAUAAUUAGUGUGUCCACUAAUUAAGUGUCCGCUUUUUAAAAAGUCUUUCAUGAGACUUUAACCAGAAAACAAUCGAUCAAAAAAUUUUUUCCGCUAAUCAGAGGUGUCCGCCUUUUAGAGUGUCCGUUAAUUGGAGAGAAUACUGUAGAUAAUUGCAUAUCCCCCGGUAAAUCCUUUCCUUAUCUUUAAGAUAUAGCUCCAAGUGACAGUGCUACUAUCACUGUCAAUCAUCCAAAGUUAAUGAUUUUAUUGCUUUCAGGCUUAUGCUCUAGCUUUAGCUUUAUACACAUUAAAGUUGUCUUUUCUCUAUCAGCUUGACAACAAUUUAGGAAAUCAAAAAUAUAAGACACACUUUUAAAGGUAUUAGAAUCUACGUAAGUAACAUAAUUCUUUUCCUCCUUCUAAAACUGAUUGUCUAAACGUAGGAAUGGCUCUGGUAUAGGUAAAAUAAUAUGAACACGACUUCAGGAAAACAAUAACUUUACAUUUUCUUGGACCAAAAAGGGCUUGACUUCUUUCAAUGCGAUAUUCCUGACAAAUAGUCAAUAUUUUGUGGAAACAUUAAAGCUUAUUCUAGCUGUAAAAGUCGCAAUAUUACGGUUUGGAAUUGAACACACCUUGCAUUUGACAGUAGCAGAUACUAACUCAAUCAACACAGCGGUCCAGUAGCAAAUCCUUUUCUUCUCCGUAACUUAAUAUAAUGUUAUGAGCCACUAACAUGACGUCCACAUGUCCAUAAUUUGAUAACUUUAGAUCUUAUCGCAGGAUGAAAAGAUAGAAAAUAAUUGGGUUGACCAAAGAGUUUGCAGCAUAAAGAGUCAACACACAGCAAAAUACGUGAUCAAAGGCACGCUCUUUGUAUUUAAGAAGGACCAUUAUGCUUCUGAUAAAUAUAGGAAAAAAGCAGACAAGCGUCUAGCGUAACUGGGCAGGAAAUAACCUCAUGAUCAGAAUGGUUUCUAAGAUACAACAAAAAUGGUAAACUAUGAAAUGGCCUGAAGGUGACACGAAGAAAUUAACAUAAGAGUCAUCAUUGCUAAGAAUGCCUUGUA